GACGAACGCUGGCGGCGUGCUUAACACAUGCAAGUCGAACGGAAAGGCCCUGCUUUUGUGGGGUGCUCGAGUGGCGAACGGGUGAGUAACACGUGAGUAACCUGCCCUUGACUUUGGGAUAACUUCAGGAAACUGGGGCUAAUACCGGAUAGGAGCUCCUGCUGCAUGGUGGGGGUUGGAAAGUUUCGGCGGUUGGGGAUGGACUCGCGGCUUAUCAGCUUGUUGGUGGGGUAGUGGCUUACCAAGGCUUUGACGGGUAGCCGGCCUGAGAGGGUGACCGGCCACAUUGGGACUGGGAUACGGCCCAGACUCCUACGGGGGGGAGGGGGGGGGGUUAUUGAACAAGGGGCGGAAGCCGGAGGCAGCAACGCCGGGGGGGGGAUGACGGCCUUCGGGUUGUAAACCGCUUUCGCCUGUGACGAAGCGGGAGGGACGGUAAUGGGUAAAGAAGCACCGGCUAACUACGG
rnacentral:rRNA from 1 species